AAAUCAGUCACACUCUCUAUCUCCAAAAUACCUUAGUCUUUGUUCUCUAUCAUGAUUCAAGCUUGAGAAAAAAAUAUCAACACAUACGAUUUUCUCUUCAAUCUUUUUUCUGAAAACCAUUUGCAAUUUUAAAAUUAGGGUUUGCAACAAAAAAAAAUCCCUUGCGUUUUGACCAAAUUCGAGAUUCGGGUAUUCUUUUCCAGAUCUCUAAUUUGCAUCGAAAGUAAAGUUUAUCGAUGCUCUCUAGAACACCGAUUCAUCUUCGUUUUCCAGAUCGACGUACUUCGAAAAUCCUAAUCCACUGCUACAAUUUUUCGCUUCUGAUAGAUAUAGAUGGAGGCAUUAUAUUGGUGUUUGACUCAACCAAAUAUUGAACUACAUGCUCAUGUUAAUGUAUCAGCUAGGGAUUCAACAUUAUUAGAACUUGCUAGAGCUCUUGGAGAAAAUGGUUCACUGAUUUUAAUCGACGUGAAACCAUGGAAGCAACGAUGGAAACUGGAUAUAAGGGCAGUUGAAGCCUGUUCAACUGACAUUGAAAAUGAGAGAUGUGAGAGUAGUAGGUAAUGACCUUGAUGGAAAUCCUGAUAUUGGAGAAUGGUAGCUGAUCGAAAGAAAGAAGUCACUGCCAUUUCCAGAGCAUUGGCCAUGCUUGUUUCAUUAAAGGCGUAGAAAGGAUAAGAUUAGGGAUCUACAAGAACGUAUUGUGGUCAUAUAUCAAGACCGUAAACAAUUGCGAAAGGUGAAUGAGGGCUUGCAAAAGAGCAAGGAAGAGACACACCAGAAGAUGGACAAGUUAAGUUGAUAGAUAUACUUGAACAAAUAUGUUCUAAUCAGGUUAUCAUAUGUUAACAAAUUUCUUAAAUUUUUUCUAUUGUUUACAUGCUUACGAGUUUUAGGCAAGUGUAUGAAACUAGUAAUCAUUGAUAGGAAAUCAAAGGAGGAGGGAGAUAAAUGCAUUACCAAAUCCACUUUAUAAAUAAUUUUGUUGAGAGUUCAGUAAGGUAUGCUUCUUGAAUAAUAAUAUUUCUGUGAACCUUAGCUUGCUACUCCAAAUUGUAUUGUUUCCAUGCACACUACACCAUUUUUCAAUAUUAGCAACAAAAACUAAUACUGUGAUCCAAGAUUAAUGGAUACUCUGUAGCCAUUCUUUUGAUUCCACGUAGUAUAUUUUCUCCCCAC